AAAGAAUUAGUUAAUUAAAUAACAUAAAUAUGUCAAGUUUAAAUUAUUACUAAUGUAAUAUUCUUUU
rnacentral:tRNA from 1 species